CCUACGGGAGGCAGCAGUGAGGAAUAUUGGUCAAUGGCCGGAAGGCUGAACCAGCCAAGCCGCGUGAAGGACGAAGGUGCCAAGCAUUGUAAACUUCUUUUGUCAAGGGACAAAAUCAGGCUCGAGAGCCUGACCGAGGGUACUUGAAGAAAAAGCAUCGGCUAACUCCGUGCCAGCAGCCGCGGUAAUACGGAGGAUGCGAGCGUUAUCCGGAUUUAUUGGGUUUAAAGGGUGCGUAGGCGGACUGUUAAGUCAGCGGUAAAAGCCCGGGGCUAAACCCCGGCGAGCCGUUGAAACUGGCGGUCUUGAGAUGUCGAGAGGUAUGCGGAAUGCGCAGUGUAGCGGUGAAAUGCUUAGAGAGUGCGCAGAACUCCGAUUGCGAAGGCAGCAUACCGGCGGCGAUCUGACGCUGAGGCACGAAAGCGUGGGUAUCGAACAGGAUUAGAUACCCCAGUAGUC
rnacentral:rRNA from 1 species